rnacentral:rRNA from 2 species
AUAAGCAUUAUACGGCGAAACUGCGAAUGGCUCAUUAUAUAAGUUAUCGUUUAUUUGAUAGCACAUUACUACUUCGAUAACCGUGGUAAUUCUAGAGCUAAUACACGCUAAAAAUCCCGACUUCGGAAGGGAUGUAUUUAUUAGAUUAAAAACCAAUGCCCUCUGGGCUCUCUGGUGAAUCAUGAUAACUGCUCGAAUCGCAGGGCCUCGUGCCGGCGAUGGUUCAUUCAAAUUUCUUCCCUAUCAACUUUCGAUGUUUGGGUAUUGGCCAAACAUGGUUACAACGGGUAACGGAGGGUUAGGGCUCGACCCCGGAGAAGGAGCCUGAGAGACGGCUACUACAUCCAAGGAAGGCAGCAGGCGCGCAAAUUACCCAAUCCCGACACGGGGAGGUAGUGACAAUAAAUACUGAUACAGGGCUCUUUCGGGUCUUGUAAUUGGAAUGAGUACAAUUUAAAUCCCUUAACGAGGAACAAUUGGAGGGCAAGUCUGUGC